UUGGGUUUGAAAAAAUAUAAAAAAAGGAUCAUUAAUACAGAUAGGAUGAAAGCCCACUUGCCAUUAAUGCACAUAAGACAAAAGCCCACACUCGCCAUGAAUAGUGGGUUGAGCUUGUAUUUAUUAUGUUGAUCCCACAGAGUUUAUAUUUAUUCUGAAGUAUUUUUAUUUAUUUUAUUUUUAUUUAUUUUAGACUCAUUUAUGUUUAUUCUG
rnacentral:lncRNA from 1 species